UCUGAUCAUGAUCGGGUAAAUAGUUUGUCCUUAAUGAAUGGGAAAUAUAUCAUAUUUUGCUGUUUCAUUUCUAGCUUAUUUGAACCAAACUGCUCAUUUUCAUCAGAAUCAAUGGGUAAAUAUAUAGGUCUUAAAAUGAUUGGAAAAUUCUUUAUUAUUUCUUUGUGUCAUAUUGGAAAAAAGGAAAUGUUUGCUCCCUACAUACAUUUAAAGCUUUACAAACUUAGUAGGCCUGAAUGCAGUGGCGGAUCCAGGGGGGGGGGUUCCGGGGGUGCGCACACCCCCUUUAUUUUUGCCGAUCAAUGCAUUUGUAUCGGGACAUAUGUUUUGCACCCCCCCUUUGCCCUGGGUGCCCUGGGUUAGCACCCCCCCUUUCGAAAAUUCCUGCAUCCGCCCUGCCUGAAUGCAUAUUCAUCAUGUAAGUAUUAAAUUUAAAUUUUCUGAGCUUGAAUUUGUUAUUAAAUGCUCUAUUAUUUAUUGUAAACAUUUUUUUUUGUAUAUUUUGUUUUUUAUGUGUUCAACCAAUAUGCAUCUCAGUUAGAUUUGAUAAUGAUAAUGAUUAUUGAAGGCUGCUUAUUAUAAACGUCCAGCAGCAAAUUGAAUGCAUAAACAGGACAAGAACAUGUUUAAAUAAUAUGAAUAUUAACCCUUUUAUGUACUAGACCAACAUACUGAGCCUGAAAUUAAAAGUGCAAGUUCACAAUUUGACACGAUGCAGAAAGAUGUGCAUCACCCUACCUAGGCAUAUUAUUCAAUCCCUUCAGCUGACUAGUCUUUGCUCUUCAUCCUUAAUGCUGCAUGCUUAGCGGAGAAGCAGCAAUUUUCAAUUUUAAAGUCUUUGGUAUGACCAAUCUGACUUCAAACCCAAGACCUCCCAGAUUUAGAAUAAUGAUAUUGGCUUUAUGUAGAACAAUACUGUAUAACAACAUAGUUUUGCAUUUAGCACUUUUGAUACGACUUUGCAAUGAUUUAUUUUUGAGAUUUCUUAACUUGGUUUCCAUAUAAGAGAAGAUCCAAGUUAGAAAUUUUGACAACAAUUUAAAUUCAAGUUAAUUUUCUACUAGUCAGUUAACAGUAACCAAAAUAUUGUAGGAUUUAAGAAAGUGUUAAAUUUUUUUUUUUUUACCCUUAAGUUUGAAAAUAAAACUGCUAUAAAUUUUUAAAUGACAUUGAGCAUGUUAACAGGUCUUUAAACUUCUUGUCAUGAAGGAAAACUGUCAAAAUAAUCUCCCUUUAAAAUUUUUGUCAUUAAUAUUUAAUAUUGAUAUUUAGAUUAAAGCUACAGCCAUACCAAAUAUAUAUUUUGUCUAAAGAUGUCUUGCACAAAUCUGUGUAAUUUCUUGAAAGUUGUCUGCUCUUUGGUCAGGUUGUUGUCUCUUUGACACAUUCCCCAUUUUAGAGUAAAAUGAUUGUUAAUGUCAAAUAUGGCAAUUUGUUUUGUAAACAUGUUGAUGACAUCAUACUGAAACUAAAAAAUGACCUAUUUUUUAUUGGAUAACCGUAUCAUAUUAUUAUAUUCAGACUUCAAUAAAUACAUAAUGUGUAAAGAUUUGUGAACUUUUCCAUUAAUGUAACUUCAAUGGUCAAACAAUGACUUGUCAUACAUCCAUGGAUAUUUUUUUCUAAAUCAUUUAAGAUUUCAAGGUGAGAUAAUGUAAUUGAUUGAAUGUUUUAGGUAGCCAACAUUUCCACAAUUUUUCUAGUCUUUAUAUUCGUUGUCUCUUAUUUAUAUUUAUUGUUUAAAUCUCACAUUUUUACAUAUAUUUACAUGUCAUACAAUUAUGCAUUCCAUAAACAUUUUAUUACACAUUAAAUCUU
rnacentral:lncRNA from 1 species